ACACUGAGGAUUGACAGGCAAUAUAUGCCACUCUUCGGAGUUUGCAUUGUUAAAUAUGCUAGUCCUUUCAUGAUUAUGUGAUAGGUGGUGCAUGGCCGUUCUUAGUUCGUGGAGUGAUCUGUCUGCUUAAUUGCGUUUCAAAUUACUUAUAAGGUAGCAAUACGCGAUGAAGCUUUCAAUAGUCCUCACGGAUUCACUUGAGUCUCUCGCUUCGCUAUCCUUUCGAAUGCAACGAACGUGACCGCAACCUCUUGUUGCCUUCGUUUAACAUCCUGCAGCUCGCUGUGGGUACUGAGGGCUUCACUCGGUGACUUUGGGCUGAGCAAUCGGUCUCUUUUGAUCGAGUAAACUAGAGGGACCGCUG
rnacentral:rRNA from 1 species